GCCUCUUGUAAACAUAAGAGGUCCAGCCUGCCCAGUGAUUUCAUUCAACGGCCGCGGUAUCCUAACCGUGCAAAGGUAGCGUAAUCACUUGUUUUCCAAAUAAAGACCAGUAUGAAAGGCAUCACGAGAACUAAACUGUCUCCUUUCUCUAAUCAGUGAACCUAAUCUCCCCGUGAAGAAGCGGGGAUCCUGCUAUAAGACGAGAAGACCCUGUGGAGCUUAAAACAUUACAACAAUGCCCUCCCCCUCCAACCACCCUGAUGGCCUCCACACAGGCACCCUGAUUACAUGUUUUUGGUUGGGGCGACCGCGGAGAAAAACCCAUCCUCCGUAAUGAAAGGGAUUUCCCCCCUAAGCAACAAGCUACAACUUUACACAUCAAAAAAUUGACAUUCUUUGACCCAAUAAAUUGAUUGACGAACCAAGUUACCCCAGGGAUAACAGCACAAUCCCCUUCGAGAGCCCCUAUCGACAAGAGGGCCCAUGACCUCGAUGUUGGAUCAGGAUAUCCCAGUGGUGCAGCCACUACUAACGGUUCGUUUGUUCAACGAUUAAAAUC
rnacentral:rRNA from 1 species